rnacentral:lncRNA from 1 species
AUAAACAGCUGAUUUAAGAAGGUCAAUAUAAACAUCCCGCCUAUGUAAAACAUGCUCUUGCAUAACAUUCGUUGUAAUGGCAAAUUCACUCACACGUAAAAAUGCAGCAAGCUAAGUUAAAUGCUGUUUGAAACAAUAUUGUUUCAUAAUAAGAAGAGCACACGUGCCUCAAAGCCACAUUUAAUCUAAUCAAAAUAUCAAUAGUCAAAGGUUCCCGAAGAUCUUAAGAGUUGUAAAGUCUAUCACAACCACCCA